rnacentral:rRNA from 1 species
GACAGAGGGUGCAAACGUUGUUCGGAAUUACUGGGCGUAAAGCGCGUGUAGGCUGCUCAGCAAGUUGGAUGUGAAAGCCCUGGGCUUAACCUAGGAAGUGCAUUCAAAACUACUGAGCUGGAGUCCUGGAGAGGAAGGCGGAAUUCUCGGUGUAGAGGUGAAAUUCGUAGAUAUCGAGAGGAACACCGGUGGCGAAGGCGGCCUUCUGGACAGUGACUGACGCUGAGACUCGAAAGCAUGGGGAGCAAACAGG